rnacentral:rRNA from 1 species
UACAGAGGGUGCGAGCGUUGUUCGGAUUUAUUGGGCGUAAAGAGCGUGUAGGCGGCCUGAAAGGUCAGCUGUGAAAACUCGAGGCUCAACCUCGAGACGUCGGUUGAAACCAUCUGGCUAGAGUCCGGAAGAGGAGUGUGGAAUUCCCGGUGUAGCGGUGAAAUGCGCAGAUAUCGGGAAGAACACCCGUGGCGAAGGCGGCACUCUGGGACGGUACUGACGCUGAGACGCGAAAGCGUGGGGAGCGAACAGG